UACGGAGGGUGCAAGCGUUAAUCGGAAUUACUGGGCGUAAAGCGUGCGCAGGCGGUUUUGUAAGACAGAGGUGAAAUCCCCGGGCUUAACCUGGGAACUGCCUUUGUGACUGCAAGGCUUGAGUGCGGCAGAGGGGGAUGGAAUUCCGCGUGUAGCAGUGAAAUGCGUAGAUAUGCGGAGGAACACCGAUGGCGAAGGCAAUCCCCUGGGCCUGCACUGACGCUCAUGCACGAAAGCGUGGGGAGCAAACAGG
rnacentral:rRNA from 1 species